rnacentral:lncRNA from 1 species
AAAAAUCCAAAUCUAGCGAGAAACAUAACAAAUCCAGCCAACCUAUUUUGCAUCCCUGUCAUGGUUGUAUGUCCAGAUCCAUAAGAGAUCUGGUUUUUGUUGAAGUUCUGGUCAUGUGCCUUGCUACUUUGUAAAUUUGGUCGAAUCUCUGAAGUUUGACACCCAAGAAAAACACUUAAUAUAAUCCGAAGACUCGUCUAGUACAGUUUCAGUUUGCCGGAAUUCAAGACCUCGCCGGAGAACAUCAUACAUCAUUGAUAUAACACGAAAUGUAAGCUCUAAUCUAUGUCUUUCUCUUCGUCCUGGUUGUUCGUCAGUUGUAGAAAGGGCAUAGCUGGAAAACGGGUUGGAUCCGCAAUUUAGUUUUGGGAUUACUUCGAGAAGAUAUGCAAGUUUGUGUUUAUUCAUUAAUUUAAUUGUUAAGUGUAGCAUAAUUGUUAUUUCAUGAAACUUUGCAAUUUCAAGAGAAUGACACUGCUUGGACGCGCUUUUAGUGUUACCUGAGGCAUGUGACUUUCAUUUCUAUAGCUAUUGACACAGGUCACAACUUAUGCUGGUAUUGCAUGGCUUUUUUUUUUAAUCAAUGACAGCCUGUAAUUGUCAGGAAAUCGUUUUAGUGUGAUUCACGUGUAUGACCCGUUGGCCGUUACCAUCCCGUCCAUCAGUAUGUCAUAUAAGAUUACCAAAAAUGUUUAUCUUUUCAUUUAUAAAC